CCGCCCGUCUUGGGGGAGUAGCCAGCCUUCGCUUUGUGCGAGAGGGGUUUGCGUCAACAGACUUGUUCGUGCCGUGCCUUGGUGUGCGGUCCGACAUGGCGCAAACGGACCACCAGCAGCAGCCUGCAACGGGCGAUGCCUUGCCGGGGUUCAAGCGAGACCUUUGACUGCGCAGCUUCUCGUGCCGGGAAGGCU
rnacentral:sRNA from 2 species